AGUGAACGCUGGCGGUAGGCCUAACACAUGCAAGUCGAACGGCAGCACAGUAAGAGCUUGCUCUUACGGGUGGCGAGUGGCGGACGGGUGAGGAAUACAUCGGAAUCUACUUUUUCGUGGGGGAUAACGUAGGGAAACUUACGCUAAUACCGCAUACGACCUACGGGUGAAAGCAGGGGAUCUUCGGACCUUGCGCGAUUGAAUGAGCCGAUGUCGGAUUAGCUAGUUGGCGGGGUAAAGGCCCACCAAGGCGACGAUCCGUAGCUGGUCUGAGAGGAUGAUCAGCCACACUGGAACUGAGACACGGUCCGGACUCCUACGGGAGGCAGCAGUGGGGAAUAUUGGACAAUGGGCGCAAGCCUGAUCCAGCCAUACCGCGUGGGUGAAGAAGGCCUUCGGGUCGUAAAGCCCUUUUGUUGGGAAAGAAAAGCAGCAGGUUAAUACCCCGCUGUUCUGACGGUACCCAAAGAAUAAGCACCGGCUAACUUCGUG
rnacentral:rRNA from 1 species